rnacentral:rRNA from 1 species
CAUAUCAAUAAGCGGAGGAAAAGAAACUAACAAGGAUUCCCCUAGUAACUGCGAGUGAAGCGGGAAAAGCUCAAAUUUAAAAUCUGUCAGUCUUUGGCUGACCGAGUUGUAAUCUAGAGAAGCGUUAUCCGCGCUGGACCGUGUACAAGUCUCCUGGAAUGGAGCGUCAUAGAGGGUGAGAAUCCCGUCUUUGACACGGACUGCCAGGGCUUUGUGAUGCGCUCUCAAAGAGUCGAGUUGUUUGGGAAUGCAGCUCAAAAUGGGUGGUAAAUUCCAUCUAAAGCUAAAUAUUGGCGAGAGACCGAUAGCGAACAAGUACCGUGAGGGAAAGAUGAAAAGAACUUUGGAAAGAGAGUUAAACAGUACGUGAAAUUGCUGAAAGGGAAACGCUUGAAGUCAGUCGCGUUGUCCAGGGAUCAACCUUGCUUUUGCUUGGUGUACUUUCUGGUUGACGGGUCAGCAUCAAUUUUGACUAUUGGAAAAAGAUCAAGGGAAUGUGGCAUCUUUGGAUGUGUUAUAGCCUUUGGUUGCAUACAAUGGUUGGGAUUGAGGAACUCAGCACGCCGCAAGGCCGGGUUUUUUAACCACGUACGUGCUUAGGAUGCUGGCAUAAUGGCUUUAAUCGACCCGUCUUGAAACACGGACCAAGGAGUCUAACAUGCCUGCGAGUGUUUGGGUGGAAAACCCGAGCGCGUAAUGAAAGUGAAAGUUGAGAUCCCUGUCGUGGGGAGCAUCGACGCCCGGACCAGACCUUUUGUGACGGCUCCGCGGUAGAGCAUGUAUGUUGGGACCCGAAAGAUGGUGAACUAUGCCUGAAUAGGGUGAAGCCAGAGGAAACUCUGGUGGAGGCUCGUAGCGAUUCUGACGUGCAAAUCGAUCGUCAAAUUUGGGUAUAGGGGCGAAAGACUAAUCGAACCAUCUAGUAGCUGGUUCCUGCC